CAGCUGAAAAACUUGUGAUCUGCCCUAUUAAUGACUUGCAUCAAGUGUGAGUGUUCAAAUGAUGUGGAUGCUUAGAAAAUGAGCAAAGACGUGGGAAGUAUUUGUGUAAAAGAAAUCGAAGCCAGGUAUCUUCUUGAUAUUAAUCACUUGUCAUUGCCAUCACUGCAAAGUCUUUGCAUAUCUGCUGUGGACAUGUGGCACUGUGAUCAUAAGCACUUGGUGUAAACCUGGGGAUGGCAGAGCCAUGGUGCUAGAAUGAGGCUCAAACUCAUCACUGCGCAGAGGACGGUUCCUUUCCUGCUUUCCUGUGUUCCUCCAGCCCCAUACCAAAGGUACUUCCACUGUUCAGCUGGUUGUUGGCUUACUUGGCUAGAAAGGGAAGGGCAGGAGAUGCCAGUGACCAUCUUGCUUGCACCCUGUCCUGCCGUUCAUUUAUCUCUGUGGAGUAGUUUGGAUAUGGGAAGUCUUUGCUGGGACAUUCCUUCUGGCUCUUGAUGACAGACCAUGGCUGUCCUGUUUUCUGGCUGGUAGCUGGUUGGUUACAUUGACAGAUGUUGCAAUGAUUCUUUUGGCAAUAUUCUGUUGUGCUGACUGUUCAAACAGGAAAUUCAUCUUUUAGUAUUUGCACAUGUUAAAUGUUUGCUUUAGUAGGAAUCGCUCUGACAGCAGGCUGGUCAAACAGUGUAUUUUUGGAGCGGCAACUUCUGGAAUUCUCAAAGUCCUCAUCGUCCCAUAGAUCUGCUGGGGCUUGGCUUGGAGCCCCGUUCUCUGAAAUACCGCAGAACUGGCUUCUGAGGAGAGGCGACGUGAGCUGCUGAGCUCCAGGUUGCUGCUGUUUCCCUCCCUCAGGAUGACGUGUUCCUGCAUGUGUUGGAAGGCACCUGGCUCAGAUCAUGCCGUGGUGUGGCAAUCUGGGACACCCAGGCAGGUUUGCUGUGUGGUGGAGUCCAUGCUGCCUCCAUCCUCUCUUCGGUCUCCGAAUGCCUGGCUUAUCGAGGUGGCCUCUUGUCUCAUGCUCAUGGAAGAGAACAGGAAGGUGGCUGUGGCUGUGCUGCAUGUGAGACAGUGAGGACGUGCUCAGGAAGCAUGGAACAAGGACUGGCUGGAGAACUUAGUCUGAUGAAGCAAGUUUUCAUCUAAAUCUACUUGUCUGAUGAUAAGCCCCAUUUCAGGAAAAAUCGAACAGUGAGGAGAACAUGCUCAGAGGAGUUGGAUUACAGCUUACAGUGUAUUUGAACCCAAAGUUACACAAUUUCAUGAAGAACUGCGUGCAGAAAUGGUUUCUGAUUUUGCUUACAACGGCUGAGAGUUUGUAAGAGAUUUGGAGGGACAUAACAUUUAUUUCCUACUUCCCUGAGCUUCAGUCCAGGCCUUGGAAAAACCCAUCUGACAGAGAUGCUGCUGGCAGGUACUCUGCCAUGGAAGCUCCUGGAAUACUUGGCUGCGACACGUCGUGAGGACAUGGCGGUGACAGCUCAACGCUGACCAGACUUCUUCAAUCAAUACGCAACGCCAUUUAAAUAGCAGAGGAGCCCAAUCAAAAGGUGUUGCUCAAAACUGUGCUUCCAAGGCUGAACCAAUAAAUUAAUUCUUGACAUUGCAUGAAGCAGUCAUAUUUAACUCUGCAUCUCCAUUUCUAUGGUAAUUUUUGAACUCAAAGAUUGGGUUUGAGAAUUUCAUAUGUAUUAAAUGUCUGUGUAAGCUCUGCUUACCCACUUGGCACAAGGUGGUUGUUUCCGCAUGGAUCAGAAUUUAUACUUCCCAUUAAGCCAAAGUAAUUUCUAUUCAUGUUGUCACAUGAAGUUGGGUCCUUUGGUGAUCCUCUAAUUCCAAAAGCCCAGUUGUUAAGUAAGGUUUGAUUGAAGGAGUCUCUUUUUUAAGUCAAGCUUAUGGUAAUGUUAGAGAACACUAAGAGAGCAGAACUGCACCGUACUGAAGGAUGUGGGGUGUCUCAAAUUGCUGCUAGAGAAAAAUACAUUCUGAGGCAAUGUGUAAAGCUUUUAAUUUGAAACAUGCUCUGGUGUUCAAGUCCCCCCAAGCAAUGAUGUACUUGGCUCUUCAGCUACUAACUAGAGGAGUACGUGCAUGACUCUGAGUGUGGCACCAGGAGACACCUUCCUACUCUGAUUGCUGAAGUAUUUCAGGCUGCAGUACCAUGUGGCAAACUGCAAAAUCCUUUUCACCAUCCACUGUUCCUGCUGCAAGUAUUCUUUAUUAUAUUUUGCCUGUGAUAGAAGAAACAUUUUCAUCUUUACAGCAUGAUUAUUUCUGUAGGGUUCAACAGCUUUCCCCAUUGCUCUUUAUCUGGAAUCACAUUGUGCAGCAUCAUUUAGUUGUGGUGAAGAUAACAACAUUAUAUGCUCUGAAAGGACAGCUAGAUGAAUGCUACCCCCCUCAGGUAAACUGCUUUUGUGCAUGUGCAAUUGUAAAUGGUGGAAAAGAAUGCCUUUCUGAAUUGUUUAUAACUCUACUUUUUGCAGCAAAACUGCAUUUAGCUCACCACAACUAAGUGCACAGUUAGUAGAAGGAAUGCUCUGCCUAAGUAUCUGUUCAAACAUUUUGGGAAGCCUCCAUGUAUUUGAUUAAACCUUUCAGUAGCCAGCAAAGCUCCUCUUGAAUGCAUCUGCAGCAAAACAUUUGGACUGGUAUGCAGUGCUGCAGCUUAAUUUGGUUAAUCCUAAACCAACACUUCAGUAAUAAGCAAAUUUCUGAGUUAACUGUCAGAUCAGUCUUCAGCUAUCUAUUGGUGGUGUACACUGAGGUGCUUUUCUGAGGCACUGGUGUUUUGAUUUUCAUCUACCUAUAUGAGAUGAUGAAGUGUCCCUCUUUGCAUUUUUUCUUUUUCUUUUUUUUUAAUUGGGGAAUUUGCAUUCAGGAAAAUUACACAACUCUCCGAAAAGGAACAGGUGUUCAUAGCAGUUGGAAGAGGUCUAUAUCUUCCAUCACAGAUCUGGCUUCUUCCUCAACUCAUUUGCUCCAGGAAGGUUUUAAAACUGUCUUUUGUAAGAGGAAAUAUACUGUCUUGUACUGAACAGAGGCAGAGCUAAUUUAUUCUAACUUGGUAUUCAUCUGAAGAUGUUUCCUUGGGAAUUGUAGCUAGAGAGUCAGGUAACAUGGAGAGAUGGAUUGGGACCUGUCCUUUACAAUUUAUUAUUGCUGUUUCUUCUAUGAAAGUAAUGAAAAAGUCCCUCCCAUAAUUACCUUAUAAUGAAUGUCUCAUUCCUUUGCAGAAACCAGUAUGCAAUGAUUAUUUCUUAAAUGCUCUGAUUGCUUCUCUGACCCCUAGAAAACGGAUGCAGUAUCAUCAGGAUCACUAGCAGACAUGGAAGGCAGCUCUGUUUGCACAGAAGUGGAACAUGCUUGGUUCCAUGAGCGUAUACUACUGGAUCACGUCAAGCUUUUGGUCUCCCAGAACCCCCACGUCCUUGUCCACAGGGCUGCUCUCAAGGAAAUCUUCUCAGUCUGUACACACAUCUGGGAUUGCUCUGACCCAAGUGCAACAGCUUGCACUUGGCCUUGUUGAACCUUGUAGGUUCACAUGGGCUCACUUUCCAAGCAUUUCCAGGUCCCUCUGGACGGGACCUUCCUCUGUUGCACCACUGCAACACUCAACUUGGUGUUGUCUACACAUAGCCUGAACAAGAUCAGAUCAGGUGAGCAUUUCAGAGCACAGCCAGUCCCACAGCACUGACAUCCCCUUCACUCCUUGUGUCACUGGGGUCUUCUGAAGGCUUCUCCCAAGGAAAGCCUUUAAGUGAAUUUCCUGCUGCUGCUCAUUAAUGUUAUGCUAGUUUUAAUUUCUUCCUUGUCUUGUAUCACUAAUCAAGAAGUAAUUGAAUUAGCUGAAAAGAAGGAUAAGACAAAUUAGCUAAGAAGAAUUAACUGUGUGUACCCGAGGUCAGCAGGCUCCUAGAAAAUUCAAGGUGAGAAUUAGUUGGACUAUAACAGAUUUAGCAGGAAGUUACUAAGUUCUCUGGAGAACCAAGAUGCAGAAAUACAAAUGACAGCCUAACCAUGAAAACCUAGGUAUAUCUGAAAGUGUUUGAGCAAUUCCUUUCUAUUUCAAGACAGGAGAGCAAAGGACUGCACUUACAUUCUUUCCAACGGCUUUGUUUAAUGAAGGGAAUUUCCCUGAAGUUUGACUUUUCAUCCUUGUGUGAAUCGGCUUUGCCAGGAAGAUAUUUCUCCUUCUGUAUUGAUAUUAAGGCAGUAAAUUGUCUGUCCCUGUGUUCACUUGCUCAACUUUUUUAUUUUUUUUUUCAUGGUUGCUCUGUAAUUUAAGUUCAUCUUUCAUGAAAACCAUAUGUUGGAUUAAAGACAGGGUAUUAUUUUCAUGCAUUGUAAUAUACUCUGUUACCUCCUCCAUUACAGUGCCAUGUUAAAGUAAUUAUUAUUCCACGUGUCACUGUGAAUGCGUUUAAGAUUCUUUAGGUCUUCUCUAGCAGGAGCUGAUUUCCACUCCUGAUUAACUGCUCUCAUUCCUUUUAUAUGUCGGAACUAGCCAAGCAUAAGCUUAUAAUUAUUUUACAGGAAGACUUUUAGAAAUAUGAAAAAGUCUUUCUGAAAUAAUUAGAAAACGAAUUAGAUUACAAUUAGGAUGAAAAUCAUAAGCUAAUGGCAGUAAUUAACUUGACAAAACCUAAAUAAACAUAACUAAGUAAUGAUAUAAAGAAAGGAAGUUUCAGUCUUGAACAGAAAUGCCUUAAGACAGGUAAAAGAAGCAGUUUAUACAAUUGCAAUUGUUUGAUCAUUGUAUUUGCUCUUUUGGAGAAAGGUUGAAACUAGUUGGCUAUAAAAUAAGUUUAUGAACUUAUUUUUUUCUAGCAGGGCUAAACAUUGCACUAAAGGCAUAGAAAGAGGCCCCAUUCGAUAACCUUAUCACUGAUACUCUCUUUUCACCAAACCUCAGCUGUAGCCGUAUUAAAUAAAAGCACAGAAAAUGGUAUAGUAACCUCACCAUCUUCUGUGCAGCUUAGUUUGUGUUCUGCAGUUGGAGCUGAAAAUACGUUGCUUCAAAUUGUGAGUUAAGUCGCUGAAAUGAGAUGGGACCCCUGCAGCCUAAUCCAUAGGAACCAGCCAAUUCUUUUGAGUUCCCUGUGUUUGAUUAGUUGUACUGUAAUUAAAGAAAUUACCAAUAGUCCGCUGUCUGGAUGUGAUUAACUCACCAAGUGCUCAUACCUAUAUUCCUUAAGCAUCUCCAAAUAAUUUAGGGCCUCAUUUAUGUUCCUUAAUAAGGAAAUAAAUGAAAAUCGCCCACAGCCUUAAUACAGUGGCUUGUGCUACAAGCUGUUCUAUCUUGUGCCUCGGUGAUGCCUGCUCAAUUGUUUCUGAUUAUGCUGCAUUGUAAUUAAAGAACCAGAAAUGCUAUUUGCCUGAAUGAGAACAUGCUGCCCAGUACAGGAGGGAGGGAAAGAAAUCAGAUAAUGACGAGAGCCUUCUAAGCAAAUCAAACCCAGAAUGUCAAUGCUGCACAUAGACAUGGAGCUGUGGAUAGGACUGCUUGAGCUGCUGGUAAAUUUCUCCUGGGCUCUUCAGAAUUGGAGUUUUUGAUGAUAGUGACUUUUGUUCUUAAAAAGAAAUGCAGGUCGGGUUGUUUUUGAAGAGCAGCAAAAGGAUGCAUUCACGCUUGCUGCUGCUGUCCCACUGCCUCUGAGCCCUGUUGCUCCCUGAGCUUCGUGCUUUCUUUCUAACCAUGCCUACUGGAAGGUGUUGGGAAAAAUUCAAGCAUGCACCUCCCAAGAGCUGGGCAGCACCUGGGGACAGCACGGGGAUGCAGCUGCAGAUCUGCUUGGUCCCUGCCGAGUGCUGGCUUUCACACAGCCUGCUCCCUGCCAGGACAACCCGACAGCAACAGCAUCGGUUGUGUGAGAAGUAACCUGAUUUUCUCCAGGAUGGGGCAGAGCAGGGCUCGUGGAAGGGGGCAAAUGAAGAAGGGCUGACGGGAUGUUUUUGUUUUGUCAGUCAGAUGUGUUCUGAGAAUAUUCCCAUGUGUUCUCACAGUAACUGAAUGUUUGUGUAGGUUGCACCCUGAGCUGCCUGCACAUCGUUGAGGAGAUGUGGUUCCACGCUGAUCCAACACUCCUACAAGUCUAUCACAUAGCUGCUUCUACCCGCAGAAUGAGGAGAAUAGGGAGUUAAUCUUCUGUAAUGUGAACAUUAAUGCAAAUCACAGAAUGGCCUGGGUUGAAAAGGACCUCAAUGCUCAUCCAGUUCC